rnacentral:rRNA from 1 species
AUUGAACGCUGGCGGCAGGCCUAACACAUGCAAGUCGAGCGCGCGGCGGACGGGUGAGAUGUCUCUGAGACACUGCCUUAUGGAGGGGUAUCACUACUAGAAAGGGUAGCUUAUACCGCAUUCCAUCAGGUGUGCCCAGAUGGGAUUAGCUAGUAGGGGGGGUAAGGGCUCACCUAGGCGACGAUCCCUAGCUGGUCUGAGAGGAUGACCAGCCACACUGGAACUGAGACACGGUCCAGACUCCUACGGGAGGCAGCAGUGGGGAAUAUUGCACAAUGGGCGCAAGCCUGAUGCAGCCAUGCCGCGUGUGUGAAGAAGGCCUUCGGGUUGUAAAGCACUUUCAGCGGGGAGGCGUUACCCGCAGAAGAAGCACCGGCUAACUCCGUGCCAGCAGCCGCGGUAAUUC